rnacentral:lncRNA from 1 species
CUGCCUUCCACAGCCUCUCGAGGUUAGGAAGUCAAGUCCAACCCAAGAGAAGAGACAUCUUGAUGCCUGAGCUCACAGGCUUGUGUUUGAUGAUGCAAAACUGCAAGGCAGAACCAAGAAACACCCUCGGGAAAACAAAACCCUGUGGGUCCUGUGGAUUGAAUCAAAAGUUUCCCAAGUGGUGGAAGGAACUGGCUUGAAGUCGUAUGCCUGGGGAUCUCCCUGCGGCUCCCACUCCAUCACCUGCCAGCAGAGAGAAGACACCAGAUAUGCUCUUAAAAGAGAUGUCACUAACACGACACAGCACAGUUUCACAUUCCUACUCUCCCCUUGAAUGUGUCACCCGUCAGAUACUACUGCAUGCAAAACACACAGUCCACAAGGCAGGUGACGUCACUGUCUCCACUGUACGUAUGUGGGAAUAAAGGUGGAACCAGGUUAAAUACUAUUCCCCAGUCUGCACCAAGUAGCAGAGCAGAGGUUUUAAUCUGAAGAGCUGACACCAGGGACCCCAUUGUUACCUAGUGUGGGGGUACACAACCUCCCAGCAGCCCUGGAGGCCAAGCAACAUCACCCCACCUUCCAUUGGUCCUGAUGAUGGGAAGCCCAGAGGACGGCCCCGGGAGCAGAGGCAGCUCAAAGGCAGUUUUCUGCACAGCAUCAGAGCAUGUCUUCCUUAGUUCUAGAUGCACGGCUAGCAGCAUGUCUUCAAAGCAAGAGAAAAGCACCAGCUUUCAGGGCUCCUACAUUCAAGGCUGAGGGAUCCAGGAAGCCCACCUUAACCUCAAACGCUACGCCCACUGUGCUGACUCUGGCAGAAGUCUUCUGGGUGGAGGGGUUUUUGUUUGUUUGUUUUUUCUCAAGUCUGUGUUCAACAGUCACCCUUAUUAGUCUCACCCUCCCAGUUCCGACCAACUCUUCCCACCCAUCAGUUGGUAGUAUCAACUUGAAGUUUUUAUUUAAAUAAGUUUGGGUGGGGUGGGCAGAGGUGUUUUGAGAGUAUAUAGCCUAGGCUUGGCUGAAAUUCAUGAUGUAGUCCAGAAUAAUCUUACAUUCACUGUGUAGUCCAGGCUAGCCUCAAAGUCUGUGUAGCCCAGGCUAGCCUCAAAGUUAUAGUGAUCAUUCUGCUUCAGCCGAAUGCUGGGAUCACAGGCAUGGAGUACCAUGCCCAACUUAAACUUAAAAUAACUGUCUCUCAGAUAGAAUACCUCUAUAACUAACCCUGAUGUGGACUGAUGGGUGGGUACAUUGUUAACUUCUGCUAGCAUCGAACAACAUAGAGAAGGCUGUGCUGGGGAAUGUGGGGAACCUUUGUGGGUGGAAGCAUGGUCCUCUAUUAACAGAUGCAAAUGUCAGCCCAUAGCUUCACAGAUGGGAGAAACCAAAGAACUCUGUUCAAGUGCCCCAUACUCCUCUCCUCUCUCUGCUCUUCAGUUGCAGCCAUUCUGGCGAAGCAAGAUGUGUCUGAGAUGCACAAGUUGCCUGACACUUUCGGCUGUGAGAAGGAAGUUGUGGGGAGUUUGUCUUAGUUAGUCAUGAGACAGACACUCAGGUCAAUCCGGGACUUGUGAAGGUUAUGUGAAGUGGGCAGCCUUGUGGGGUGGAGCCCUCAGCCUGAGGAUCUGAUGUUAAUUCCACAGAGAGGACAUCAGCAUGAUUCUCAAAACAUUUCAUGAGG